rnacentral:rRNA from 1 species
AACGAACGCUGGCGGCAGGCUUAACACAUGCAAGUCGAGCGCCCCGCAAGGGGAGCGGCAGACGGGUGAGUAACGCGUGGGAAUCUACCCAUCUCUACGGAAUAACGCAUGGAAACGGGUGCUAAUACCGUAUACGUCCUUCGGGAGAAAGAUUUAUCGGAGAUGGAUGAGCCCGCGUUGGAUUAGCUAGUUGGUGGGGUAAAGGCCUACCAAGGCGACGAUCCAUAGCUGGUCUGAGAGGAUGAUCAGCCACACUGGGACUGAGACACGGCCCAGACUCCUACGGGAGGCAGCAGUGGGGAAUAUUGGACAAUGGGCGCAAGCCUGAUCCAGCCACGCCGCGUGAGUGAUGAAGUCCUGUUGGUUGUAAAGCUCUUUCCCCGGUGAAGAUAAUGUCGGUAACCGGAGAAGAAGCCCCGGCUAACUUCGUGCCAGCCGCCGCAGUAACAC